rnacentral:lncRNA from 1 species
AUCAGUUUCAUAGUGUUCUUUGACAAUUUGUAGGAAAGGUUCAGUAGUAUUUCUUUUAUAUAAACAACCUAGAACUCUGAGUUGCAGAUCCUCUGUUUAAUUGAGAAAGGAUCUUGGGGGUUAUGGCCCAAAUGUUGCAUAGGAUUGUUAAAAUAUGUAGCAUUUUUUCUGAAAGUAUAUAAUUUGUAUAUUUUAUGUGAUCAGUGACUCUCUUAUUUUUUUUCAGUAUAUUUUUGGAGAUUUUAGCCCUGAUGAAUUCAAUCAAUUCUUUGUGACUCCUCGAUCUUCAGUUGAGGACAAGAAUAUCAGAGAAUUGAGUUUGGUGUCGAUGAAGUCAUUGAACCCAGUGACACUUUGCCGAGAACCCCCAGCUACAGUAUUUCAAGCACACUGAACCCUCAGGCCCCUGAAUUUAUUCUCGGUUGUACAGCUUCCAAAAUAACCCCUGAUGGUAUCACUAAAGAAGCAAGCUAUGGCUCCAUCGACUGCCAGUACCCAGGCUCUGCCCUCGCUUUGGAUGGAAGUUCUAAUGUGGAGGCGGAAGUUUUGGAAAAUGAUGGUGUCUCAGGUGGUC